rnacentral:snRNA from 1 species
GUACCCCUCGGGGACAUCCGAUAUAAAAUUGGAACGAUACAUAGAAGAUUAGCAUGGCCCCUGUGCAAGGAUGACACACACAAAUCUAGAAAUGGUAAUCAUGCAC